AAAGUGGAGCAAUCCAUGAGUACAGUGGCGACCGGGUGAGUAACACGUGAUCAACCUACCCUCGAGUGGGGGAUAACUCCGGGAAACCGGAGCUAAUACCGCAUAACAUCUUCGGUCCACAUGAACUGAUGAUCAAAGGAGCAAUUCGCUUGAGGAGGGGGUCGCGGCUGAUUAGCUAGUUGGUAGGGUAAUGGCCUACCAAGGCUUAGAUCGGUAUCCGGCCUGAGAGGGCGCACGGACACACUGGAACUGAAACACGGUCCAGACUCCUACGGGAGGCAGCAGUGGGGAAUUUUGCGCAAUGGGGGAAACCCUGACGCAGCAACGCCGCGUGGAGGAUGAAGUCCCUUGGGACGUAAACUCCUUUCGACCGGGAAGAUACUGACGGUACCGGAUGAAGAAGCACCGGCUAACUCUGUGCCAGCAGCCGCGGUAAUACAGAGGGUGCGAGCGUUGUUCGGAAUUAUUGGGCGUAAAGGGCGCGUAGGCGGCGCGGUAAGUCACCUGUGAAAUCUCCUGGCUCAACUGGGAGCUUGCAGGCGAAACUGCCGUGCUGGAGUGUGGGAGAGGUGCGUGGAAUUCCUGGUGUAGCGGUGAAAUGCGUAGAUAUCAGGAGGAACACCUGUGGCGAAAGCGGCGCACUGGACCACAACUGACGCUGAGGCGCGAAAGCUAGGGGAGCAAACAGGAUUAGAUACCCUGGUAGUCCUAGCCCUAAACGAUGGAUGCUUGGUGUGAUCGGUACCCAAUCCGAUCGUGCCGAAGCUAACGCGAUAAGCAUCCCGCCUGGGGAGUACGGUCGCAAGGCUGAAACUC
rnacentral:rRNA from 1 species